rnacentral:misc_RNA from 1 species
GAAGUGCCAACUCAAACUGCCAUCACAGACGUUACAGUUAGGAAGGAAUAUAAUAUAUAAUUAGACAUAAUUAUAAUUAUAUAAUAUAAUUAGGAAUAUAUAAUAAGAUCAAUUUAAUACCUACAUUAACAUUGUUGUUAUGCGAAGUUCUGCAUGAGCUCCUAGCUCCACGAUGCAGAGGAGACCGCCUCCAAUUCCUGUGCGCCGUUCUGUCGACCAGUCGGGGUCGCCGCGGUGCCCGCAGUAGCGCCUGCCGCGGAACCGUGUCCGCCACAGCAGCUGGCGGAGACUGCAGACACAGUGGACGUGGCAGACACUCGGCCGGACCGGACAGCAGUGGAGGAGACGCGGCCGGACAGGACAGCAAUGGAGGAGACGCGGCCGGACCGGACAGCAAUGGAGGAGACGCGGCCGGACAGAGCUGCCGCCGAGGAGGCGCGGCCAGACAGGCUGAUGACCACCUCCUACUCGGAGAUCUGCCCGUUCGGCGGCUCGGGCGGCUCGAGCGGCCGCUCCAGCGCGCUCGGGUGCGGCAGCGACACGCUGCUCUCGCCCGACCUGUCGCCGGCCACCCCGGAGCAGCCGGCGGUCCCCUCUGAGGGCGCCGGCCGCGGGUCGCCGCUGCGCCCUUCCGCCGCGCUGCUGGACGAACUGGAGCGAGACGCCCGCCGGCUGGCCGCCGCCGCCGACGGCCUGAUCGAGAGCCUCACCGGCACCAUGUACAGCAUCUCGUCGCUGGCCGUCGACUCGAUGGAGGCUUACAGAGACGCCGUCUGCAAAACCUGCGACAGCGUGGAUGCCAACAUUAAGGCGAUGUAUCAGCUGAUGGCCAAGACCGAGGAGCUCAACAAGGCCGUGAAGCAGGUCCACCCACUGGCCGUACAGGUGCGUGAGCUCAAACGGCUGCUCGAGCUGUUCGAGGGGGCCGUGGUGGCCGGCAGCUGAGCCGACGCAGACACAGAUAGCUGAGUUGGGGGACUCUUACAGCUCAGUUGGGGAAUUCGCGCCGCUGAGUUGGGAGACUCAUGGACAAUUGGACAGCCGAGCCGGGAGACUCGGGGGACAACGGAGUCGGGGGACCCGUGCAACUUAGUCGAGACACU